AUACGGAGGGGGCGAGCGUUGUCCGGAAUGAUUGGGCGUAAAGGGCGCGUAGGCGGCCCGGUAAGUCUGGAGUGAAAGUCCUGUUUUUAAGAUGGGAAUUGCUUUGGAUACUGUCGGGCUUGAGUGCAGGAGAGGUAAGUGGAAUUCCCAGUGUAGCGGUGAAAUGCGUAGAGAUUGGGAGGAACACCAGUGGCGAAGGCGGCCUGCUGGACGACAACUGACGCUGAGGCGCGAAAGCGUGGGGAGCAAACAGGAUUAGAUACCCUGGUAGUCCACGCUGUAAACGAUGAAUACUAGGUGUGGGGGGACUGACCCCCUCCGUGCCGCAGUUAACACAAUAAGUAUUCCACCUGGGGAGUACGAUCGCAAGAUUGAAACUCAAAUGAAUUGGCGGGG
rnacentral:rRNA from 1 species